rnacentral:rRNA from 1 species
AGCGUAGGCGGACAGUUUAGUCAGAGGUGAAAGCCCAGGGCUCAACCUUGGAAUUGCCUUUGAUACUGACUGUCUUGAGUACGGGAGAGGUGUGUGGAACUCCGAGUGUAGAGGUGAAAUUCGUAGAUAUUCGGAAGAACACCAGUGGCGAAGGCGACACACUGGCCCGUUACUGACGCUGAGGCUCGAAAGCGUGGGAGCAAACA